UACGUAGGGCGCAAGCGUUGUCCGGAAUUAUUGGGCGUAAAGAGCUCGUAGGCGGUUUGUCGCGUCUGUCGUGAAAGCUUGGGGCUUAACCCUAAGUCUGCGGUGGAUACGGGCAGACUAGAGGCAGGUAGGGGAGAACGGAAUUCCCGGUGUAGCGGUGAAAUGCGCAGAUAUCGGGAGGAACACCAGUGGCGAAGGCGAGUCCCUGGACAAUUCCUGACGCUGAGGCACGAAAGCCAGGGGAGCAAACAGG
rnacentral:rRNA from 1 species